rnacentral:rRNA from 1 species
AACGAACGCUGGCGGCAUGCCUAACACAUGCAAGUCGAACGAUCCCUUCGGGGAUAGUGGCGCACGGGUGCGUAACGCGUGGGAACCUGCCCUUAGGUUCGGAAUAACUCAGAGAAAUUUGAGCUAAUACCGGAUAAUGUCUUCGGACCAAAGAUUUAUCGCCUUUGGAUGGGCCCGCGUUGGAUUAGCUAGUUGGUGGGGUAAAGGCCUACCAAGGCGACGAUCCAUAGCUGGUCUUAGAGGAUGAUCAGCCACACUGGGACUGAGACACGGCCCAGACUCCUACGGGAGGCAGCAGUGGGGAAUAUUGGACAAUGGGCGAAAGCCUGAUCCAGCAAUGCCGCGUGAGUGAUGAAGGCCCUAGGGUUGUAAAGCUCUUUUACCAGGGAUGAUAAUGACAGUACCUGGAGAAUAAGCUCCGGCUAACUCCGUG